UCUGGUUAAAUUAGGCAAUCGUGCAAUCAUUGUGUUUUAUUACCAUCAUCAGGCAGGAUUUAGUUGGCUUUCGUAUCCUGGAUCUUACAAUCCACAACAAAUCGGGGCACAGGAGAAACGAAGGUGGUUCGAAUCAGGACUAUGUGGCCGAUGAGAUUGCCUUCUCGUGCACCUCAUGGAGCUCGAAUCCGGUCACUUGUCGGUUCAAUUGGUGCCAGGAAUGGUCUUUUUCUCGGCUUUGGAAGGUGGGGUGGUAUUGAUGGCGAGGCUCGAGUACAGUGGCAGGGGAACAUUGGAUAUAGAUUUGGCUCUGGAUGGAUAUGGACUGCCUCUCAGGCGCUCCUUUCAUACAUCAGUUCGUGGAGCGGGGGUAUUUUAUGCAAAGGUGGCUGACUCUUCCCAGGUCGUCCUUGGGGUGCCUUUUGCGUGUGAGGCUUCCAUCAUCCGGGUCGUCAGCAAAGGCAAGGUUGUGGUGUUGGAUUCCUGCAGCAGGGAAAAACAGCUUAACCAGGCUCUCUCGUUGCUGCUGUUGUUGUUGCUGCUUACUGUCUGCACCGAUUGUGAAGGCCUUUCCAUGUGAUCGAUCAAAUCCACCAUAAGUACUUGGUGGGAUUUGGUAUUGGUUAUGGGCGGCUUCUCCGCUGGCAGCUGUUUGGACAAGUCAGAGCACAUCUCAGGCAGAGGAACUAUGUCCUAGGCGUCUAUAAAGCUAGAGAGGAGGCGCUCCAACCGAGAUCCAACGCUACUGAUACUGGUGUGUAAAAGAGCAUCGCGCAGGCAGAGGUAGCUAUGCUAAGUUGACCACUUGGUAAUGGUAUCAUCAAGGCAGACAGAACAGGCACAGAGCCGAUGUGGCAGUGCAGUCCCGUGGAGUUUCAACCCUCCGUAUCCAUCCACGUGCAUUGCGCACAGGGGACGUGUACCUUGUGAGUCCACGAAAAGGAAUACUUACGCAGGAGCAGCAGCAGCAGCAACGGUGUGUCUGUGGCGGGGGUGGUGGUGAUAUCGGCUGUCGUAAUGAGGCUUUGAAAGGUAUGUGUAGUUUACAAGUGGGCUUUUUGUGUAGCUUAGAUUUUCAUUCCUUGCUCGAAAGAUCGCUCUUGCGAGCUGCGUCGUCGGUCCUUUCUUGGCUUGUUGAUGUUGCAUGUGGUAUUGAUUGCAGCAGCGCGUGUGCUUCCCUAAGCGUCCUCUCUUUUAGCAUCACCAUCCUCUCUCUAUAUCUCCAUCCACCAUCUCCUCGUCUCGUCCGUAAUAGGCAGACUUACCAGAAGCCCCGCUAGAAAGAAGUCGUCUUGUCCAUAGUCAGGCCUUACAACAGUGUGCUCUGUUUGUUAUAGGCUUCAUACUCUCCCUGCCUAGGCCAGAUCAUCUCUCUAUCUCCAAUUCUAGCUAUAGCACUAGGGGUACCUUUGGGAAUCUGGGAAUUUGGGAGUGCCAGGGGCCAGCCAGAGGAGGGAGAGAGGGAGGGAGGGAGGAAGGAAAGGAAUAUAAACAGCAUAUAGAUAGAUAGAAUAGCAGGAAGGAAGCAGGGACUUGAAGGGAGAGCUCUCCCUCUCUCUCUUUUGCAUCUCGGAGGGGAAAAGUAACAACAGCAGCAGCAGGAUAGUAGCAGCAGCAUUACAGGAAGUCGUCACUCGUGGGUUUUAUGGCAGAUAAGUUGCUGCUGGAAUUAUGAUUCUGCCUUCCAAGGCACUCAUUGCGGUGUUGUCUCUCGGGAAGCUAAAGUCAGCGAACUCGGUGACUUGUGGUGGUACUGGUGGUGGUACCUCGGGUGUGCAAUUAUCUUCGGGCCUGACGGGUUGAGAAAGACAAAAGGGCCACCGCCAAGCAGCGAGCGCCACCUACACAGACACAGUGCCUCGGAGUUUGGAACCUUUUCUCUUUACUUUCAUGGAAGAAGCGCUUGAUCGAGAGAGCGAGAUUCGAGAGACAACGGAGAAAGAAAAGCAUCGUUGGAAGAUGGAGGAGAAUCCGGCCUGCCUCAGCUGGAGCCACAUUCACUCGGGAGAUAAGUGUGGCUUUUCGUUUUUUCUUUUUUGUUCUUCCCGAAUUUGACAGCCAGGAACCAGGGGUGGUAUCAGUCCGUGCUCCGUGACAAUGCGAUGGGAUGCGAUGUGAUCCCUCGCUACUGAACCCAUUGAGAAAGAGGCACGAAUUUUUUGAUAGCGUUCUUUCUUUCGCAAGGUACCAGCUUGUUGGUGCUAUUCUUUUUAAGCGUCGUUAUGUCGUGAAAGCAAAAGUUAAUUCUUUCACACUGUGACGUUGUCGCCCGCGAAGAGAGAAGUAAAAAAACGCGAAUCCAACAAAGAUUCUUUAGUCA